UAGAGUUUCAUCCUUCAUCAGGACGAACGCUGGCGGCGUGCUCACCCCAUGCAAGUCGAGCGAUCACGACCGAGCUUUUCGGUCUGACUUAGUGGCGAACGGGUGAGUAACACGUGAGCACCCUGCCCUUCACUUGUGGGAUAACCUCGGGAAAUCGGGGUUAAUACCGGAUAUGAGCUCCUGUCCCAUGGCGGGUGUUGGAAAGUUUUUCGGUGAAGGAUGGGCUCGCGGCCUAUCAGCUUGUUGGUGAGGUAAUGGCUCACCAAGGCGAUGACGGGUAGCCGGCCUGAGAGGGCGACCGGCCACACUGGGACUGAGACACGGCCCAGACUCCUACGGGAGGCAGCAGUGGGGAAUAUUGCACAAUGGGCGAAAGCCUGAUGCAGCGACGCCGCGUGAGGGAUGACGGCCUUCGGGUUGUAAACCUCUUUCAGCAGGGAAGAAGCGAAAGUGACGGUACCUGCAGAAGAAGCGCCGGCUAACUACGUGCCAGCAGCCGCGGUAAUACGUAGGGCGCAAGCGUUGUCCGGAAUUAUUGGGCGUAAAGAGCUUGUAGGUGGCUUGUCGCGUCUGCCGUGAAAAUCCGAGGCUCAACCUCGGGCGUGCGGUGGGUACGGGCAGGCUAGAGUGUGGUAGGGGAGACUGGAAUUCCUGGUGUAGCGGUGAAAUGCGCAGAUAUCAGGAAGAACACCGAUGGCGAAGGCAGGUCUCUGGGCCAUUACUGACACUGAGAAGCGAAAGCAUGGGGAGCGAACAGGAUUAGAUACCCUGGUAGUCCAUGCCGUAAACGUUGGGCACUAGAUGUGGGGAACAUUCCACGUUUUCCCGCGUCGUAGCUAACGCAU
rnacentral:rRNA from 1 species